UCGUCGCGCAAAGAGGACCGCAUGUAUACCAUUCGCUAUUGAAUUUCGUUGAUCCGCGCCAAGUAUCUUCGUGCUGUGCUCGCAAAGAGGAGCAGCUCGACGGCUGUACACGAAUGUACAGGUGCAGCUCGUGUCUGGCGCGCAGUGGAGCGAGGACUGCGUGAGGCAGUCACGUAGUUGGGGACUAGGUGAAACGGGUUCGUGAGACAAGGAUCGGUCGGUAGUCCUGCAGUUAGGUGGCUUCUCCCUGUCGAUGGGUAUUGUGGGUGCAUUGACUUAUCGACCAGGCUAGGAAGCAUGGUUCUGUCCUACGAUGGAUUGCGGUUACGUCUGUUGUUCCGGUAACGAGGCUCCCCCUUUGCCCGCCCACGCGUCUGCCGCCAACGGUUCCCUGUCCGUCUUUGUCGUUUGAACGCGUCUACCGACGUUCGAAUGCACGUCAUUACCUGUCAACGCCGGGAUACCGUCGAUGUCUCUGAUAAGGAGCAACGGGGACGGAGAAAACUGGAGAGAACCUUCUCGAGACGCGUCGAUCCGGUGAAUCCCACGUCGGACGACGGGAUGACGUCCUUCAAUUUACGACGUGCUCGUACAGUCCAUGAUCUUCGCUUCUUCGAGUCUCCUCUGUCUUACAGUGCUACAUUCGACGCGGGCCGACGCGGCUUUUAAGGCUUUCUCACUCGGGUUCGAAUGCACGUCAUUACCUGCCGUCAACGCUAGGAUAUGUCGGACAUAUCUAAGAGGGAGGAUGACGUAUGUGGAAAGGGUGAGCAAGGAGGACUCCAGAAGAGCCGCACUGACAGGAUUCUGUAAAUAAGACAGCACGCAAGAGAUAAUGGAUGCCAUCGGUACAUGAUGGAUGCAGAACUAUACGCCUCGCAGUCGACGAAUAGCAGACGCGCGCGAACCAAGGAUACCGCGAUUCUGUGAUCGGAAUCGGCAGGCGCCGAGAUGACGGUCGCGAAGAAAUUGCUGAGAAAAUAGAAAGAGAAGAACGACGAUAUUGAUGGAGAGCAAGUCUCGAUGGUAGCAAUGGGAAGAUUGUAUUUUUACCUUGACGACACCGGGAAAUGAGAAAUAGCGGAGGGCCAACAGAAGAACGCUCUACCAUUCCUAUGCAUACCUCUACUUUUACCACGCCGACUAUGCAACCAGAGUAUUCCUCGAUCGUGAAAAUGGACCAAUCUUAUCGUGUAUGAAAUGUUCGGAAUAAUCGGACUGUGGAUAUUCAUUCAUUCGUGGGAAUUUAAAAUGUGUAACAAUGUAGAGAAUAUGUACAAUAUAUAGAAAUUUACAAAAUAUUUCAAGUUAAAUGUUUCAUAAAAAUGUGAAUAAAUAUCCGCAAUCUAGUGACAACGCCAUAGAUCGAAUCGAUGCGCCACUGCUUCCUCUGCGAGCAAAGGAAAGAAUUAAAUCAGUAUCCGUUAGAAUUUUUCGAGAGAGCGAAGGCAAUGGUGUUAAAGGACACCGUGCGACAAAAGAGCUGUUAGGCUGAUGGAUGUCAUUGGCAGUGGAAAUGGAACAGCGUUGUCAGACCGUGGAGAGUUCCUCUGGAUUAUGUUCAUCUUCGAGAACGUUUCUCAACCUGAUAGAGGAUGAACGGAUUUGAAGGAUACUUUAGAGAUAUUGAUUUGAUUAAAAACGUGUCUGGGUUCGUUAUUCUCGAGAUUAAGAAAAUAAGCAAGCAAUUUUUCCAACACAAAAUAUCAUAUUUUGGAAGUAGAAACUUCAGACAUCGUCGAUUUUAGACCAAUCAUUCAAAAACCAGAUGACUCACGCAGCCUGCAACAGAAUAUCACGUAACGUGACUCACUGGGUGACCCACAUUGCAUUACACACGUCGAACGACAUGUAAUCAAUCACGUUCGGUAGAAAAGAAUCUGCCAUUCAAAAGAUUACACAACUUCGUCCCACGCUGUUGCGUGACGCUUUGCUUUUUCCACCUAACGGCGAAAAAAUUCGAAAAGCAACGCGUCUUAUUGCAAGAACGUUUUGCUAUCUGGUUAAGCGUUUGUUAAGUAAGUUCAGGAUUCUAUAAUUUACGUACUUAACUCGCUUGAUCGUGAUUCGCUUCGAGAAAUGAACUCUAAAAAUCGACAAAGAUAGCGAUGCCAGUUGACCGGCAAAAUCGAAGCCAAUUGAUGCAACACUACAAACAACAAUAUCGUACAAUGUCGUACAUCCACGUGGACAUUUUUAUAACGGAACGAUGUCUAGUCGCCGCUCCGUCUUCCUGAAAUAUCAUCGUCGUGAAAAGAAGCCUUUGGAGCGUGCGAAAAGAGAUUGGUCCGGCCGUGGUGCUCCAACUACGCGUACGUGUGUUACGUGUAGGCGUGCAUCGAAUGCAAAUCGAUACGUGGAAGAGAAAGCGGAUCGAACGAAGAGAGCUCGUCGAGACGGACAACGAAACGAGAUCGUAAUGGCGAAAGGAAAUGGUCCAAGCAGAUGCGAUGUUUGCCAGCCGCCCUUAGCUCGAUUCACGCCACUGCCCCUUUCACGGUGUUUCCAAGCCCGGGGGAUCAUUCGAUCGCCGACAGAGGCCAAAGCGUUCGGAAAAUCUAUCGUUGAUCGUUUUUGGACCCGGCCACCGCUCGAUUUCACAUCAAGGAAAUGAGUUUCCUCGCGCCCGAUCCGUGAGACCGUCGAUUUCUAGCGUUCGCCACCAUUUUACUCUUACCGAACGGAAAAAUGGCGCGGAACAUUUUCGAUCUACGUUCUUACGAAUGUGUCUCUCCGCGUCUCUCGAACAAAUAUUGCUCGUCGUCACGAUUCCUUUUUAGCGUCGAUCGAAUCGUAUCUUUUUACUGCAAUUCUAAAUAUUAUUGAUCAUGUUACAUGGAACGUUCUUCGCUUAUCGUUGUGCAGGAAAAUUGCGGUUAAGUUGAUUUGAAACCGUAUAAAUGCGAUGGAAAAUUGUAUAAUGUAAAACGGAGAAACUAGGUCUUUGAUUCGUUACAAAACACAUUUCUUUACAAAUGAUUAACCGUACUGCGUUGUUUCAAUAAGUUACUUCGAAAGCAGCCAAGCUUGAAAUUCUGAAUCCGCUGAAUUAGCUUUAACGCUAAACAGAACCGUGAAAUAACGUUCUCGUAUAAAGCGCAACAUAAUCAAUUGAUUAUCGCCAAAUAUUCAGGGUAUUUCGCGUAAUCUACAGUACACAGACUUUUAGUCGACGGGUUUUAUUUUCGCGUUACCUUAGCCGGUAACGUUAUUACGAUCGUCAAAGCGGUAUUAAAGGUUUUACGACGCGAGGCAGGAACAGGGGCAACUGUAGAGGAGAGAAAUUGAGAAAAAAGUAGGAAACCAUUGAAUCGAAUUGUUGGCAAGCUGCCAAUAUACCGAUAUUUCGAGUACGUACGCUGAUUGAAGCACGAGAACCCGUUAUCAUACAUUAUGCGUGAAUUCUGAUUAAUACAUGCGCUGUUUACCAUUCAAUCUACCGAAUUUAUCCAUUAGAGCGAAUAGAAUUUUUCGUGCAAUGACUCGUGCGUAUUUACCAGAAUCUCCAUGAAGAAAAAAAGGAAAACAUCGAUUGUAUCGUCGAUCGUGAAUAAAGCGAGCGCGUAAUGUUGUGUUAAUGCGAAGAAAGAUAAAAUAAAAUAAAAGAGGGCCGCAUGAUGAAAAAUACGAAGAACGACCCUUGACAAGUUCGAAUGGAAAGAGAGAAAA